UUGAUAGCAAAAAAAAAAAAAACAUUUUCUGUCUUCUCGUAUAAAGCAGCAGAUUUAUCAUAGUAAACUCCACACAUUGUUUACGUCAAAAGGAUUUUUUGGUGUGAAACAUGUUGGAGAUUAGCGUAAAGGGGGUCAAUUCAUUAAGUGAAGAGCUGUUUUCUCACAAAAGCAGUUUAUUCAGCACUCUGAAGCAUCUCCUCCAUAUACAUCCAUAAAAAAUAAAUAAAAAAAAUGGCCUCUGGUCUCCUUGCCAGUGUUUUGCCUAUGGGACCACCAUGUUAAGCAUUGUUUUGCUUACCUUGUAGACUCCAGUUGGUAGAAGGGCUCUGGGAAAUAGAAGCCCCACCUACAUUUUCCAUGGAAACACUGGCCUUUUUCCUGCUGUGGUUAAAUUUAGCUGGAAAUCAUAUACAGUAGAACAAGUACAGCUUUACCACCCCUUGCUCUCGCUAUAAGAUAUAUAGUAGUAUAGUACAGAAUGUUACACUGAGGGGCUCUACAGAGGGGUUUGACACAGUUCACGUCAUCCCAUGCUCUACCACCGUGUGAAUCCACUGAAAUUCCAUGCAAUAUAUGUAACAAAUUUGAUGUGGCCCAUGGGGCUCUAGUACUGGUGUUUUCUUUGUGAUCUGUGUAGAUUUAUUUCUUCACUAAAAUUUGAAGGUGGCAAGUUGUGCUAUUUUGAGGCAAUGCGAAAUUAGCAAGUUAUUGUAUGUGCAUAUAUUAUAGUUCAUUACAUUAUGAACUAUAGUGCAGAGACGUUAUCUAUCACCAACAUGAUCCCACAGGAAGUCGUCAUGUUGUUUCCGAGAGUUCCGGUACCCUAGGAUCAGCCACAUAAUGCAGACUCAUCAACAAGCGGUAUCUUCUAUCAGACAUUUUUGCAUCAGCUCCAGUACAUUUACCUUCCCCAGUGGUGCGACAUAUUACAGCCUGUAAAGCUGAAAACUACUCACUUCACAACUUGCUUUUGGCGCACUCUGUGGACAUUUCUCCUGGAAAAUGGAGCUUACACAUGCUCGUACGCCCAACUACAGUUACCACCUUGGCCACUGGGGGCAGUGUUUUGCAUUUUGGUGUAUUGGAGUCGGUCUGAUCUGAGGUCUGUGUGUUCUGCUGGUUGGUGGGAUAUUUCAUGAAUUGAGUUGGCUGGGUGGUCUCUCUGUCCCCUGGUGUCUCUGAGGUCCCUGAAUCAGAGAAAGAGGAAUGAAUCAUUUUGACCUCAUUUCUGGAUUUAGUACUGAGUGGCACUGCCAAGAGCCUUGCUGAUGCGAUUCAGUGAGUAAAAUGUGCUGUGACCACUGAUUUGAUGUAAUUAAUAAACUUGUAGAGCGUGGAUACCUUUUCACAGACUGAGCAAAUUAACCUUAACCUGACCCCUCCCCCAUGUCACAAGAGGGCCUGACCUCUGACCCUGGCUCAACACACUCCCAUCUGGACGUGGCAGAGAGAGCCAUGAAGAAUAGUGAGAGAAAAGGAGGCAGGGAGAUGGAGACAACAAAAGAGACUUAUCUAUUUGUCUCAUAUAUCUUUCUGGAACCAUUUCUCAUUUGCAUAUGAUUAUGUGCUGAAAAUUUGAUUUAUGUAAUAUUCUGCUAGAGAUGUUUUGAAUAAAAGAGUGAUUUAAUUUGAUUUGAUUUGAUUUGAUUUGAUUUUUGGUCAUGAGUCUGUGCUCAGCAUGCUCACUUGAAACCUAAAGAGAGACAAAAUGAAGAACAUUGUCAGAAUGAUUUAGUGCGCUCUAAGACAUUCAUUCAAUCCAUUAUCAUGACACUGAUAAUUUAGUAUUAUUCGCAUAAUUCUUUUGUUCAUGCGAC